UACAUAUUUAUUUAGGCACAAACUGCCUGAUAAAAACUUGUAUGAAAAAAGUAUUAAUACUUUUUUAAUACAAUUUUUUUUAUCAGGCAGUUUGUGCCUAAAUAAAUAUAUA